AGUGUCUCAGAAAUGAUUUGUAGCUAGAAAGUGUUGAUAUUUACCUUCUUGCUUGGUUAAUGUUUCUUUGACGUUAAUAUAAACUUUCGUGUAUAGUGAUACACCUCUACAGAAAAUUCAUGAGGAACAUGAAUGCAAAAAUCAGCAGAAACAAGGAAGGAGACAGGAUGGGAAAGAAAUCAGUUGGAGAGACAGAUCAGUCAAAGAAAAGCGAGUAAUUAAGAAUAUGGAUAGAUAUCUUCAAAAUGAGAGCAAGAGCUUCAAGUGAUACUGAGGACAGUCACAGCUGUGAUCCAGAAUCACUGUUCAAACAGAGUUCUCCAUGGCAUAUUGUUGUGAACAAGGAUUGGUUUCAGGGCAUGGACACAAUUACAGCUGAAAAAGAGCUACUCAGUGCAGAAAACUGGGUUCAUUUACCUUCCUUAAACCUCAAUAAAUGCAUCAUUUCUAUUUUACUAUGUAUUUUGUUGCUGUAAACUAAAAAAAACGCCCAAACCUCAGAAUUCAUAUAACUAGCCAUGUUGGUUUUGUUUGAUGUCCGUGCUGCAACCAUCCCUAGUGUAUGACCCAAAAUUCUGACUUGAGUUAUGACUUACUGUAUUAUGUAGCAAGUGUUUUUCCUAAUGUAACCACCCUUAAUUGUAUCACCAUAAUAACACUAAGAAGUAAUCACAAUGAUACCACUUUACAGAUUUGGAAUGAUACUAAUUUGCCCAAGACUACUUGAAAAGGGAGAGCAUAACAUAUGAACUUAACUUUGUAUCAAGUUUAUCAAGAGACUAUUAAAAAGAACUUUCCUGGUACUUUCCAAUAUUGGGAAAACCACUA